GUGCUUGCUUCGGCAGCACAUACACUAAAAUUGGAACGAUACAGAGAAGAUUAGCAUGGCCCCUGUGCAAGGAUGACACGUCAAAUUAAAAAAAAAAAAAAGUGAAA